rnacentral:rRNA from 1 species
UCACACCACCCAAGUCGAACGGUCCACCCCGACCGAAACCAUAGGGUGGACGACGAGAUCAAAAAAAGGGCGGACGGGGGAGUAACACGUGAAUAAUCUGUCCUCAACUCUGGGAUAACCUGGCGAAAGUCGGGCUAACCCCGGAUAAGCUGAGAGUGUGGCAUCACACAAUCAGAAAAGGUGGUUUUGCCAUCGUUUGAGGAGGAGUUCGCGGUAGAUUAGCUAGCUGGUGAGGUAAUGGCUCACCAGGGCAACAAUCUAUAGCUGGUUUGAGAGGACGAUCAGUCACACUGGAACUGAGACACGGUCCAGACUCCUACGGGAGGCAGCAGUGGGGAAUCUUCCACAAUGGGCGAAAGCGCCCGCCGCGCCCCGC